rnacentral:rRNA from 1 species
AGGGAAUCUUCCACAAUGGACGCAAGUCUGAUGGAGCAACGCCGCGUGAGUGAAGAAGGCUUUCGGGUCGUAAAACUCUGUUGUUGGAGAAGAAUGGUCGGCAGAGUAACUGUUGUCGGCGUGACGGUAUCCAACCAGAAAGCCACGGCUAACUACGUGCCAGCAGCCGCGGUAAUACGUAGGUGGCAAGCGUUAUCCGGAUUUAUUGGGCGUAAAGCGAGCGCAGGCGGUUUUUUAAGUCUGAUGUGAAAGCCCUCGGCUUAACCGAGGAAGCGCAUCGGAAACUGGGAAACUUGAGUGCAGAAGAGGACAGUGGAACUCCAUGUGUAGCGGUGAAAUGCGUAGAUAUAUGGAAGAACACCAGUGGCGAAGGCGGCUGUCUGGUCUGUAACUGACGCUGAGGCUCGAAAGCAUGGGUAGCGAAC